UACAGAGGUCCCAAGCGUUGUUCGGAUUUACUGGGCGUAAAGGGUGCGUAGGCGGUUGGGUAAGUCUAACGUGAAAAUCUUCAAGCUUAACUUGGAAACUGCGUCGGAUACUAUCCAGCUAGAGGAAUGGAGGGGAGACUGGAAUACUUGGUGUAGCAGUGAAAUGCGUAGAUAUCAAAGUGGAACACCAGUGGCGAAGGCGAGUCUCUGGACAUUUCCUGACGCUGAGGCACGAAAGCCAGGGGAGCAAAACGGGG
rnacentral:rRNA from 1 species